GUGGAGGUUGCAGUGAGCUGAGAUCGCGCCACUGCACUCCAGCUUGGGCGACAGAGCGAGACUCCAUCUAAAAAAUACAGCUGUAUCAAAUCUGCUUGUGCUUUGGCCAUCUGAGAGAUCUUAAGUGUGCAAUGCAAUGAGGAUGGAGCAACGUAUACACCAAUCAAGAGAAAGAACAUGUCCAUUACCCCAAAAAGUUCUCUUACACCCGCUUCCAGGCAACUGAUCCUGAGCACACGUCUCCAUGGCGGCAGGAGUCAUUGCUUUUUAGAUCACGUUCUCCGAGCAAGAGCCGAGAAAUCGAUAUCUCUCACAAGGCUGUAGACGUGCUGGAACUGAUUAGUCAUUAACCUAUUGUCACUCCUCCCAGCGCUCAUGGAAGGAGUUGCAGCAUGUCAAUGGAUUUUAAAAGAGUACCAGGAUUAAACUUCUCCAUGGCAGUGGGCAUUUGUGAAAGGUCUGUUCUGAAAUACCAGUACCAUCUUCUCACAUGUUAAGGGCCAAAAAUCUCAGUAAGUCACUCCAAAUCAGGUUUUACAGAUGAUUUUUUGAAAUAUUGAUUCUGGUAUUGUCCCUGAAAAUUUAAUUUAUCAAAUAAGCCAAUUAAGAAGCGUCUUUUAAAGGCACGUAGGGACCAUUCAGCACUGGAUGGACAAGAAAAUGAACAUAUUAAUCUUACAGUCAGCAACGUUUUGUUGAUGCUUUGGAAACUGAACUGCAAAGGAGUACUUAAAUGAACUGAAAGAGUUAAUUUGACUUCUAAGAGCCAUAAACUGGCUUGGGUUGGGUGGAU
rnacentral:lncRNA from 1 species